rnacentral:lncRNA from 1 species
AGCAGAUUACAUAGAAAAUGACUCAGAUGAAAUAAAUAAUUUUGAUGGUAUUGACCUUCUUCCAGAGAGCUAUAUAACUGAUAUUGAUAUAUCAGAAGAUGAAACCAAGAUAGCACUUUGAAUACAUUGGGGAAUAAAUUACUUGAAUUAUGUUCGUCCUCAAGGCUUCGUAUACUUAAUGGUCGUUUUUUGGGAGAUUCCCUGGGAUAUUUUACUUAUAUGUGUAAUACUGGGUUCAGUACAGUUGAUUAUGCUAUUGCAAGUGAGAGUCUCCUGCCUGAGGUAAAAUACUUUAAAACAAAUGACUUUACAUAUUUAUCAGAUCAUGUUCAAAUAAACUUAUAUAUGAAUUGUUCUAUUAUAUCAGAUACAUGUAUGAAGAAAUGUUUAGAUGAGAAGAGAUGGCAUUUGAUAAAAUCAUACAAAUGGACAGAAUUGUCAUCUUCAAAAUUAAUUGAUGUUCUAUCAACAGAAAAUGUUAAAAAGGAAAUUUUAGAUUUAGAGAUGGAACAUUUUGAUAGCAAUAAACUAGGCGUUGAUGGUGCAACUGAAAAACUAACCAAAAUUUUACAAACUAUUGCAGAAAAUACAUGUAAAGUCAUAUCUAAACCAACAAAAAAGAAAAAGAAAAAAAUUAAACAAGUAUGGUCAGAUAAUGUAGUAUAUGAAACAAAAAGACAAAUAAACUAUUUAGGAAAUAAAAUCAAGAAUAACUUAAAUGACAAAAGUUUAAAAUCUAAAUAUUUUGAAUUAUGUAAAAAACUAAAAAAAAAUGAUUAAACAGAAAAAAUUUGAAUAUCACCAAAAACUUUAUAAAUCACUUUCAGAUAAUUUAAAAAAUAAUCCAAAAGAAUACUGGAAUGUUCUAAAGGCAAUAAAAAAAGAAACCAAAUAUUGAAGAAGAUAUUCCUGAAAUUUUAAUGAAUGAAAAUAAAAUCAUAAAACAUUUUCAGGAUCAGGGUACACCAGCCUCAUAUGAUAAAUCCUUUGUAAAUAAACUGGAACGUGAACUAAACAUUAUAGAAGAUAAUAUUGAAUUGAAUAUGGAAACUGAUGCACCAAUUACAUUUGCUGAAGUAAAACUGGUCAUUUCAAACCUUAAAGUAAACAAAUCAGCAGGUCCAGAUAGAAUUGUGAAUGAAAUACUCAAACACUCACAACCUGUGAUAAUUAAUUCUAUUGUAAAAGUUUUUAAUUUGAUUUUAAAGACAGGUAAUUAUCCAGAUUCUUGGAAAUUAUCUUUCAUGAUCCCUUUACAUAAAAAAGGUGACAAGUUAGACCCUAAUAAUUAUAGAGGCAUUUCUCUUAUAAGUAAUCUACCAAAAAUUUUUAAUGCCAUAUUAAAUAAUAGGCUAAUCAAGAUUGUUGACAAACAAUUAAGUGAUUGUCAGUUUGGUUUCAGAGAAAAUCACAGAACAGCUGAUAGCAUCUUUUUAUUAAAGUCCUUGAUUAAUAAAUAUUUACAUAAAGAG